AUUGAACGCUGGCGGCAGGCCUAACACAUGCAAGUCGAACGGUAACAGAAAGCAGCUUGCUGCUUUGCUGACGAGUGGCGGACGGGUGAGUAAUGUCUGGGAAACUGCCUGAUGGAGGGGGAUAACUACUGGAAACGGUAGCUAAUACCGCAUAACGUCGCAAGACCAAAGAGGGGGACCUUCGGGCCUCUUGCCAUCGGAUGUGCCCAGAUGGGAUUAGCUAGUAGGUGGGGUAAAGGCUCACCUAGGCGACGAUCCCUAGCUGGUCUGAGAGGAUGACCAGCCACACUGGAACUGGGACACGGUCCAGACUCCUACGGGAGGCAGCAGUGGGGAAUAUUGCACAAUGGGCGCAAGCCUGAUGCAGCCAUGCCGCGUGUAUGAAGAAGGCCUUCGGGUUGUAAAGUACUUUCAGCGGGGAGGAAGGGAGUAAAGUUAAUACCUUUGCUCAUUGACGUUACCCGCAGAAGAAGCACCGGCUAACUCCGUG
rnacentral:rRNA from 1 species